AUAGCGAGGAGGCAGCUGCGAACACCUAACAGGUGGUGCGAUAUAAAUCGGGGCCAAAAUUUUAUGUGCAACCGUUGCCGAAGAGCUCAUUUCUAUUUUAACUUUGCAACCACGGACGAGAUAUUUCGCGAUAUUAUUCUUAUGCCACGAACGAGAUAUCUCGCGAAUUUAUUAGGACAAGAGUCAAUUCUAGUGUUAUUCUAUUCAAUAAAGUAUUCAGCUGUUGAUAAAAUUGCACAAACUUUUUUUUAUAUAGAAUAGUAUUCUUUAUUAGUUCGAUAAACGAUAUUCAAAUUCGAUAUUUUAUUUUCGUAAUAUUUUGUGAUAUUUGUUUUAUAAAAUAUCCUGUGCUUGUGAAGUAAUGAAAUUAACAAAGGUACGAAAUUUAUUUUCUAUAGAAAGAGAAACAUUAUUUUCGAAAGAUAGAUCGAAACUUUUAUGUGUUUCCCGCGAGAAUAUGUCUCGAGCGAAAUUAAUGGCGACGUUAUGAAAUGCAAUGAAUUUCAAACAGUUUAAAUCCGAAUUUGAUUGAAAUAUUAGCUGAAAAAAACAAAGUUGAAUCAAAAUCUAAUGAGAAGUCUUGACUAUGCCUCUAUUCAUAUUCAGAUUUCUUCUUGAAAAUAUAAAGUCCCGCUCGACAACUCGUCAGAAAUUAAUUAUGGAAGCAUUGAAUCCUAACCUUCAAGUAUUAUGACAGAGAUUCAACUUUCGUCUAAAUGAAUUCGCUCAAACUAAAUUACAACUGACAAGAAGAUACAAACUCAACUAUAAUUGACUCUUUUAUAACAUAAUAUUUUGAAAAUAUAUGAUAAAACAGUGCAAAAAUAGUGAUAAUACAUGCUAUAUUAAUAAAUUUAGACAAUUCGUGUAGCACGAUACAUAUCAUACUUUUUUUUUUGACACAUUAUUUAUUACUAGCUGUUUAAUAGAUCGUAAAUUCAACAUUAAUAUCAGUAAUUUAUAAAUUUUAACGUUCGGUAAUCGACUGAUGAAAUUUAUUGACUUUUUCCUAAAUCUAUUAUUUUUUCAAAGUUAUUAUAACAAUUUUCAGAUCCUCAAAAAUGAAUCUCGAAACGAAAGUGAAUAUUUUUAGAUUAUUUGUCAAAGUAUUCUAACUAUUUAUUGGACAACACGAUAAUAAAAAUGGAUAUUGAUAAUUCGAAGACGUUUACCUAACCUUACUUUUAUAAUAUAUCGACUCGGAAAGUGAUCAUGAUACAAAUAUUGUUAAUGUGUAUCUAUUUUAUUUUAUUUCACACAUUUUUACCUGACAAUUGAAACUCUUUAAAGAAUUCAGACUUAAACUGAUUGAUUUGUUAUAUAUAUUCGUUUAAUUCACACCCGGUAAGUAAUAUAUUUAACAUUUCUUCAUGAUUUGUAUUAGUUUUAAGUUUUGCUUAACACAAUUUCAGUACAACAUAGAACAAAUUGGCCAUGUUACAGGAGAAUUGACUAUAUUAAUUCACUCUUUCAAUCGUGUACUCCCCGUUGACAUGAUUCCUCAAUUGCGAAAGAGAGCGAGACACGCGAGAAACUAAAUUCGUGUUUCAAGAGAUUCUGCAUUCGAUGAAAGGAGAUGUUCGACUUCUAUGUGGCGAUAGUAGAAACCAAGCCUGAUCAACGGGUUUUGAUGAGAAAUCACAAGACCUAAGUCUGGCGCUUCGGAUUUCUCCGCGGAAAUGUAAAGUAGCAGGUACGAGAUAGGCUGCGUUUUUUUUUUUUUUUAAUCGAUACACGUUCUCUUUUGAUCAACGUAUCCUCCAUUUACAAUUCUAAAGUGUUCAUCUCUUACUUUUUUUUUUCUUUACCAGGUAAUCAAAAAAUUAGUCGAGAAGGAAAUGAUACGUUUUUUUAAUGAGAAUUUGUACUUUCUUAUAACGUCGUUCAUUCACAAAUAAGCAAUGAAACAAAUAAGGAAACGUCUGUAGAAGAAAACACGACGAAUAGAAAUAGAAAAUUACUUGGAUGGAAAAUGAUUAAUCGCGAAACAAAUUUUAAUUAUAUAAAAUGAAAGAGUCUGAACGAAGCCAAUGAACAUACACGAAGGAAUGAAGAAACGUGAGCUACUAAUUGAACGAAAAAUCAUUUCUGACGGAGAAAUUAUGUAACAUGAACUUCUAUUAUACGAACAAUCUGAUUAUGUGAACGUGUUUGUUAUUCAACACGUAUAAAUGAAAAGUUCGACUAUACAAAUAUAAAACAAAUAAUAAAACUUAUAUAUAUCUCAUGAUUGAUAUUACUUCGUAAGAUUAACUAUGUGAGAAAUGGUUAUGCAAUUACGUGUACGCAGUGUUGUUCAAUUUAUCGCGGUUUCCCGCGACUCGAAUCGAGUGGCAAGCAGCUUCCGUAAGAGAGGAAGGCAAAUCUUGCCGCGGUGCGAGUUUUUUGCCAAAUUAAAGUCGUUAGAGGAUAAACGAGAGAGGAGGCUUGCUCGGAACAGGCAAGUGGCAAGAAAUCUUCUUCGUGGAGGGUCUAAUCGAGCGAGGCGCGCGAUCCUACCCAUCGCCUUUCUUCCAAGAAGGAAACGAAAAGAACGGAAUAUCUCGAAGAAAGCAAUUUCUCGGGAAACGCGAAAACGUAGCGGGAUCCCAUUCGUCAAAGUUGAAGCCAACGACAUCGUUGAACAACGGUUCGAAUUUACGAGCUCCACGAAGCGCGAAUAGCGUCAAAGUUGCAGCCUCGACACGCCACCAAGGGUAUAUACACCGAGCAGGAAACUGGACUGUUCCACUGCUCAGCUUCUCCGGUUGAAGAAAUUCUUGGACACUUCCUGCUCUUCGAUCCCCGCCACUGAUACAGGCGUGUUUCACAGGCAACGUUAACCUUGAGGCCAUCCCGAGUUAAUGAGAAAACCGGAGAAAGAACGUUCGGUUUUACCAGAUUGUUUUACCAGUUUUCGCAGGCAAGGAUAAAUAGCAAUUGAAAAUGUUAUAUAGGGAUGCCAUAAAAGCAAUGAAUAGAUGGAAAUCAAGCAUCACUGUUCACAAAACAAUAUAUCUUUUUCACUUGUUUCAUAUCUCAGGAUGGAGAUAAUUUGACCAAACUAAAACACAAUAUUCAAAAAUUUCAGAGAUAAUUUGACCAAACUAAAGCACAAUAUUCAAGUAUAAUCUAAUCAACCUAUCAUUUUAAAUGUAUUAUAUAGCAUUUGAUGUAUAUAUAUGAUACAUCAAAUACAUAUGAUAUUUGUUAGUUUUACUUGAAAUAUUCGACUUUUUCAUUUCUCUUUUUUUUCUUUUUCAGAAAUUUUGCAAUACCUAUAUAUAUAUACAAACCGCCAUUCAAGAUUCAAGGAUCGUCGUGGAAUCGUUUGCGCUUGAUUUUGUGAACACAAGGUUUAAUAUUUAAAGACGAGGGAAUACUUUCACUAUGUUUGUUUCUCGUAAGUAGCGGCUACGUUAUUAUUUCACCGACGAGCCUUUGGCAUCCGCACGAGAGUUAAAGCGUACUUAGGACCUUGCUUCGUUCCCCUCAAAAAAAGCCAGAUCCUAGGCGUCGACGAUUUCUUCUACUAUGACCCGUCGAAUCUUCGGUUACGAUAUUCAGAAAAUUAUCCAUUUAUUAAGAAAUUGAUUCUCUCUUUCCCUUUUCCAGCAACGGAGGAACGAAGUUCUAACCGAGGCUGAACGCUAGCGCCGUCAACUCCAUAGAAAGUUUCAUACACACUUUCACCGUGGUGGAUUGGCGCGAAGCACGUCAGGGUGUCUUGUUUGGAGCUUUUACGGUUUCGAGAAGAAGGCAAACGCGCGUACCGACCUCUCCCUGUCCCCUUUGCGGUUGAUGCAAGAUCAACGACCCAGGGUCAAGAGGAGGAAGAGGUAGGAGGGCAUGGAGCAGAGCAUCAAGUGCUCGUUGCCCUCCGGUGGUAGCGUGGCGGACCAGGAAAUCGGUGCUGCCAACACCGGGACCGGAGAGCAACGUCUGCAACGUCGUGCAACACAACCUUGUGUAUCCAUCUCGUCCUUUAAGGCAUCCAUUAGCUUCCUAACUACUAAACACACCGCUCGGGUCCGACGACCCCGUCCUGCUUCCUACCCACCGCACCGUCCGGUCUACGAGGAAGAACCUCUUCUUCCACCUCUUCCCUCAGACCUUGCCUUUUUAUUUUCCCUACUCUUCCAUCUUCGUCUGCCCCCUUCUGCCAUUUCAUCCUACUCUUUCCUCCUCCUCCUUCUUCCCUCAUCCUCUUCCACCGUCGUCCUCUUCGUCCCGAUACCGACGUUCGAGGGUCAUCGACAUCCGCGGCUGGAGACAUUGUACGCAACGUUGUUGCUCGGUUAUCGUGGUUGGCCGCGCACCUUGCGCGCGUUAACUUGGUCCGAUCCCCUCGUCGAACCUCACACCUGACGCAUUCAAGAGCAUGGAACGAAGAAUAUACAAAACUUGUAUAUAUAUAUAUACUCUAACGAGAGAAGGAAAUUUCGCAACUGAGAAAUUGCGCGAUCAAGGAUCGUAGAACGAAUCGUAACUGGAACGAAUUUCAUCGGAUCGGUAACGCAACAACGUUGCACAAUGGAGAUUUGCAUUGGAGACCAUUGCAGCGAGUGAGACUCUGGUUAGGCUCUCUGCCUACCUAUCCGCUAAUUUCCUUAAUUGCCAGCCACAGUAUGUAAUUAACGACGACCGUACUCGCUCCGAUUUCCAUGAUAUACGUACCCUCUAAUGAGAUAAAUUUAACCAUCCCUUCGAGGAGGGGAGGGGAGAGAGAAUUAAACAGCUG
rnacentral:lncRNA from 1 species